GAUGAACGCUGGCGGCGUGCCUAAUACAUGCGAGUCGAGCGAACGGACGAGAAGCUUGCUUCUCUGAUGUUAGCGGCGGACGGGUGAGUAACACGUGGAUAACCUACCUAUAAGACUGGGAUAACUUCGGGAAACCGGAGCUAAUACCGGAUGAUAUUUUGAACCGCAUGGUUCAAAAGUGAAAGACGGUCUUGCUGUCACUUAUAGAUGGAUCCGCGCUGCAUUAGCUAGUUGGUAAGGUAACGGCUUACCAAGGCAACGAUGCAUAGCCGACCUGAGAGGGUGAUCGGCCACACUGGAACUGAGACACGGUCCAGACUCCUACGGGAGGCAGCAGUAGGGAAUCUUCCGCAAUGGGCGGAAGCCUGACGGAGCAACGCCGCGUGAGUGAUGAAGGUCUUCGGAUCGUAAAACUCUGUUAUUAGGGAAGAACAUAUGUGUAAGUAACUGUGCACAUCUUGACGGUACCUAAUCAGAAAGCCACGGCUAACUACGUG
rnacentral:rRNA from 1 species